ACUCAAAUGAAUAGACGGGGGCUCACACAAGCGGUGGAGGAUGUGGCUUAAUUCGAGGCUACGCGAAGAACCUUAUCCAGGCCUUGACAUGUACGGAUGCUGCCCGUGAAAGCGGGUUAGUUGCCUUCGGGUGAAACGUGCACAGGUGCUGCAUGGCUGUCGUCAGCUCGUGUCGUGAGAUGUCGGGUUAAGUCCCUUAACGAGCGAAACCCUUGUCUCUAGUUGCCAGCGAGUAAUGUCGGGGACUCUAGAGAGACUGCCGGUGUUAAACCGGAGGAAGGUGGGGAUGACGUCAAGUCCUCAUGGCCUUUAUGGUCUGGGCUGCACACGUCCUACAAUGGCAUAUACAAAGGGAUGCUACCUCGCGAGAGCAAGCAAAUCCCAAAAAGUAUGCCCCAGUUCGGAUUGCAGGCUGCAACUCGCCUGCAUGAAGCCGGAAUCGCUAGUAAUCGUGGAUCAGCAUGCCACGGUGAAUAUGUUCCUGAGCCUUGUACACACCGCCCGU
rnacentral:rRNA from 1 species